GUGGGCCAUUGAGCUAAGCGGGCCUGGAGGAGGCAGCAGGGGUCGAAGUGACCGGGGCAGUGGCCAGGGAGACUCGCUCUACCCAGUCGGUUACUUGGACAAGCAAGUGCCUGAUACCAGCGUGCAAGAGACAGACCGGAUCCUGGUGGAGAAGCGCUGCUGGGACAUCGCCUUGGGUCCCCUCAAACAGAUUCCCAUGAAUCUCUUCAUCAUGUACAUGGCAGGCAAUACUAUCUCCAUCUUCCCUACUAUGAUGGUGUGUAUGAUGGCCUGGCGACCCAUUCAGGCACUUAUGGCCAUUUCAGCCAGUAAGUAUUCUUGAAACAAUAACCCUUCCAUAAGUUUGAAGAAUUAAAGGCAGGCCGGGCAUGGUGGCUCACGCCUGUAAUCCCAGCACUUUGGGAGGCGCCAAGGCGGGUGGAUCAUCUGAGGGCAGGAGUUCGAGACCAGCCUGGCCAACAUGGUGAAACCUUGUCUCUACUAAAAAUGCAAAAAUUAGCUGGGCGUGGUGGCACACGCCUGUAAUCCCAGCUGCUUGGGAGGCUGAGACAGGAGAAUCACUUGAACCUGGGAGGCAGAGGUUGCAGUGAGCCGAGAUCGUGCCACUGCACUCCAGCCUGGGUGACAGAACGAGACUCCAUCUCAAAAAAAA
rnacentral:sRNA from 1 species